AUUGAACGCUGGCGGCAGGCCUAACACAUGCAAGUCGAGCGGAUGAAGGGAGCUUGCUCCUGGGUUCCGCGGCUGACGGGUGGGUGAUGCCUAGGAAUCUGCCUUGUCGUGUGGUUUAGCGUCCGCAUACGGGCGUUAAUACCACAUCCGUUCUGAGGAUGAAUGAGUGUGUUCUUCGGACCUCACGCUUUCAUUUGUGCCUAGGUCGGAUUAGCUAGUUGGUGGGGUAGAGGCCUACCUAGGCUACGAUCCGUAACUGGUCUGAGAGGAUGAUCAGUCACACUGGAACUGAGACACGGUCCAGACUCAGACGGGAGGCAGCAGUAGGGAAUAUUGGACAAGGGGAGAAAGCGUGAGCCAGCCAUGGCGAGGGUGUGAAGAAGGUCUUCGGAUUGGAAAGCACUUUAAGUUGGGAGGAAGGGCAGUAAGCUAAUACCUGGCUGGUUUGACGUAACCAACAGAAUAAGCACCGGCUAACUUCGUG
rnacentral:rRNA from 1 species